UCACUUCAGCAGCACAUAUACUUAAAUUGGAAUGGUACAGUGAAGAUUAGCAUGUCCCCUAUACAAGGAUAACACUUUGUUUUAUAUAUUUAAAAAAAAGUUUU
ensembl:snRNA U6 U6 spliceosomal RNA